UAAUCAGCCCUCAGGAAAACACUGAGGCUAUGGGGGUGGUUCUUGCAUCUUUUUGUUGUGGCCUCUGUAACCCCAUCCCCAGUGCUAUCAGCCAAUGAUGGCCCCUGAAUAGAAAGGCAAAAGGUUUGACUCUGGCUCUCCUGCCCAAUGGCAACGCAACGGGAGUCCCCUGAUAUUCCACCUUAAAGAAGAAUAGGCAUGUGCAAAAUGUGC